GUGCCCUGUGGACGCCCUCCCUGUUUGAAAAAGUCACUCUGAAAGAUUUGGCAGGGAGGGUGCUCAUCUUCCUCGGCGCGGACGAAUGACACUACAAUGACAGAAGCCAUCAGAGUGGUGAUUGCAGCGACUGAGGAUCUCUCAAGGAGAAGAAGAGCUUUUAGACUGGCCAGGCAUGUUA